rnacentral:misc_RNA from 1 species
GAAAUGCGAUAAGUAAUGUGAAUUGCAGAAUUCAGUGAAUCAUCGAAUCUUUGAACGCACAUUGCGCUCGCCAGUAUUCUGGCGAGCAUGCCUGUUCGAGCGUCAUUUCAACCAUCAAGCUCUGCUUGCGUUGGGGAUCCGCGGCUGCCCGCGGUCCCUCAAAAACAGUGGCGGGCUCGCUAGUCACACCGAGCGUAGUUACUCUACAUCGCUAUGGUCGUGCGGCGGGUUCUUGCCGUAAAACCCCCAAUUUCUAAGGUUGACCUCGGAUCAGGUAGGAAUACCCGCUGAACUUAAGC